AGACCUUAACCAACUUUGGUGAGGAGAGGGGUAUUCAGCCUUCCUCCUGUGGGAUAUCCAGCCUGAACUCUGCUCAUCUGGUCUGAGACAGAGCCCAGCAGUAAGAUUAGAGAUUAGGUGCCUGUUUGGUUUGGUCGUGCAGGUAGCCCAGUCAAGAAACUCAGCUUGGCGAGUUUCCAUGGUGAAAGGGGAAAUAAGAGAGUGGGCCAUGGGGUAUUUCUCAUGUACUAAGAUUUUUGAAAGCCACCUGGAUCAUUUUGACUCAAGGAACAUGGCCAGUGCUGUACAGCCUUGUGUUUCCGUCACAAUCAGCCACCCAUACUUCCCCUCACUCCUUUUCCAGCCAGGUGCUGCCAUUCGCCUUUCUUACCUUGCGUGAUGGAUGGUGGAACAGCUUCCCGAGUCAGCAGGAGGUGAAUAAGAGCUCCUGGUGGGGCUGGAAACUUCUGUUUCAUGUUUACCUUUGGUUCCUUUGUUUGUACAGCCUUGUACUGUUUUCCAUCUAGAUUUCUGACCCAUUGCCUCCUAGCAACAAGUAGCUUUUGUCUAUGCCUUUACCCCUGACUCACUGGUCUAGAUUGUUGACCCACUAUUUUGCCAGGAUCUCUAGGUCAUUGUACUUCUUACUACUACCUGUCCCUCUCUUGUUUCCUCCCCUUUCCUUUUUCCUUCCUUCUAUUUGUAUACAUUUACUGAGGAUUUAGUGUGAGUAAGCUAUGAACAAGUUCUGGGGACCCCACAGCUUUAGCAGAGAAGAUGGAUGGAGAUAAGUAAUUAUAAUAAAGUGGAAUAGGUAUUAUGCCAGAGUUAGUAGAGGGAACAGUGAAAGACUUUAUAUAGGGCUGGGGAAUCUGUAUGAGACAGAGAGGGAGACAUGAGACUGGAAGGGAAACCAGAAGCCAGAAUUUUUUUUUUUUUUUUAAGACAGAGUCUCAUUCUGUUGCCCAGUGCCCAGGCUGGAGUGCAGUGGUGUGAUCUCAGCUCACUGCAACCUCUGCCUCCCACGUUCAAGAGAUUUUCCUGUCUCAGCCUCCUAAGUAGCUGGGACUACAGGUGUGCACCACCAUGCUCGGCUAAUUUUUGUAUUUUCAGUAGAGACGGGAUUUCACCAUGUUGGCCAGGCUGGUCUUGAACUCCUGGCCUCAGGUGAUCCACCUGCCUCGGUCUCCCAAAGUGCUGGGAUUACAGGCAUGAGCCACCACACCCCACCAGGAGCCAUAUUUUAUAAAUCAUAUUACAGAGGAUGGACUUUAUCCCAAGGACCACCAGAAGCUCUGAAAAGACUACUAAUGGUUAAUAUCUAUUGAGCAGUUAUCAUGGGUUUUUCCUACAUUAAUAUUCUCACAUUAUCCUUUGGUGAUAGGUAUUAUUUGUUAGAUUUGUUUUACAGAUGAGGAAACUGCGACUUAGAGAAUAUAUCAGUCAGGGUCCAACCAAGGCAACCAAACUUCUUCUAAGUAUUUUAACCAAAGGAAAUUUAAUCCAGGGAAUUGGUUAUGCAGGUGAAGGAAGAGGAGAGAACCCAGACAGCAAUGGUGAGGCAGCUGAGAUCAGCAACAGCAGAGAGCAAAAGGGAACGGGCUGUGUUAUUGAAGCCCAGGGGCCAGUCACUGUUCAAAGCUGGAACCACAGGAGACAUCACUGAAAACAGACAUGCCUGCAAGUCCCCACCUUCCACCAUCCAGGGUCCUUAUUGACUGAAUCCAUCUGGAAGCCAGAGGGCCUAAGGAAUGUAAUAGAUAAAACAGCAGGGGAAGGAUACUGUAUUGGUGUGGGUCCCAAUGGAAAUCAGACAGCACACUCAAAGUAGAAUAAUUUGAGCAGGGUUGAUUUACUAAGAGCUAAAUUACAAAGAUGGGGGAGAAUAGGGGAACCACAGGGGACUUCAGAGUGGUUACCAUCUGCUGUGGUUUUGAUAAUUGUCUCCUCCAACAUUCAAGUUGAAAUUUAAUCCCCAAUGUGUCAUUAUUGACAGAUGAGACCUUUAAGGGUCCUAAGGGCUCUCCCCUCCUGAAUGGAUAAAUCCAUUCAGAGAUUAAUGGGUUGUCAUGGAGUGAGCUUUAUAAGGAGAGGAAGAGAGACCUGAGUUCACCCACUCAGCCCCCCAACUAUAUGAUGCCCUGCACCAC
rnacentral:lncRNA from 1 species